rnacentral:rRNA from 1 species
UACGUAGGGUGCAAGCGUUAAUCGGAAUUACUGGGCGUAAAGCGUGCGCAGGCGGUUGUGUAAGACAGAUGUGAAAUCCCCGGGCUCAACCUGGGAAUGGCAUUUGGGACUGCAAGGCUGGAGUGUGGCAGAGGAGACUGGAAUUCCUGGUGUAGCAGUGAAAUGCGUAGAUAUCAGGAGGAAUACCGAUGGCGAAGGCAGGUCUCUGGGCUGACACUGACGCUCAUGCACGAAAGCGUGGGGAGCAAACAGG